UAACCCCAUGUGAGGUGAGAUUACCC
rnacentral:rRNA from 1 species